rnacentral:tRNA from 1 species
AGGGUUGUAGUUAAUUAUAACAUUUGGUUUGCAACUAAAAACUAUUGAAUUAUCAACCUUA